AGUGGACGCUGGCGGUAGGCCUAACACAUGCAAGUCGAACGGCAGCACAGUAAGAGCUUGCUCUUACGGGUGGCGAGUGGCGGACGGGUGAGGAAUACAUCGGAAUCUACUUUUUCGUGGGGGAUAACGUAGGGAAACUUACGCUAAUACCGCAUACGACCUACGGGUGAAAGCAGGGGAUCUUCGGACCUUGCGCGAUUGAAUGAGCCGAUGUCGGAUUAGCUAGUUGGCGGGGUAAAGGCCCACCAAGGCGACGAUCCGUAGCUGGUCUGAGAGGAUGAUCAGCCACACUGGAACUGAGACACGGUCCAGACUCCUACGGGAGGCAGCAGUGGGGAAUAGUGGACAAUGGGCGCAAGCCUGAUCCAGCCAUACCGCGUGGGUGAAGAAGGCCUUCGGGUUGUAAAGCCCUUUUGUUGGGAAAGAAAAGCAGCAGGUUAAUACCCCGCUGUUCUGACGGUACCCAAAGAAUAAGCACCGGCUAACUUCGUG
rnacentral:rRNA from 1 species